rnacentral:rRNA from 1 species
ACUCAAUAGAUACCCAGGUAGUCCACGCCCUAAACGAUGUCUACUAGUUGUCGGGUCUUAAUUGACUUGGUAAACGCAGCUAAACGCGUGAAGUAGACCGCCUGGGGAGUACGGUCGCAAGAUUAAAACUCAAAGGAAUUGACGGGGACCCGCACAAGCGGUGGAUGAUGUGGAUUAAAUUCGAUGCAACACGAAAAACCUUACCUACCCUUGACAUGGAUGGAAUCCCUGAGAGAUUGGGGAGUGCUCGAAAGAGAACCAUUACACAGGUGCUGCAUGGCUGUCGUCAGCUCGUGUCGUGAGAUGUUGGGUUAAGUCCCGCAACGAGCGCAACCCUUGUCAUUAGUUGCUACGAAAGGGCACUCUAAUGAGACUGCCGGUGACAAACCGGAGGAAGGUGGGGAUGACGUCAAGUCCUCAUGGCCCUUAUGGGUAGGGCUUCACACGUCAUACAAUGGUACAUACAGAGGGUCCGCCAACCCGCGAGGGGUAGCUAAUCCCAGAAAGUGUAUCGUAGUCCGGAUUGUAGUCUGCAACUCG